GGGACCAGCUAUUUUGAGAUCACCAGUCAAAAGCGUGAAGAUGACAGCUUCACCACGCUACUCUCCAAUGGACCGCAGAGGCAUAGUUCCUGGAGAUUUACUCAUUCAUAAACUUGAAGAAGUAAAUAAAUCUGUAAAGAAACUCGAGUUUCUUAUCGAGAAGUCAAAUACUCCCUUUCAAGCAGCGGAAGCAAAAUCAGAUCCGA